UACGGAAGGCAGCAGUGGGGAAUAUUGCACAAUGGGCGAAAGCCUGAUGCAGCUAUGCCGCGUGUAUGAAGAAGGCCUUAGGGUUGUAAAGUACUUUCAUCGGGGAGGAAAAACAAAACUAAUAAUUUUAUUUCUUGACGUUACCCGAAAAAGAAGCACCGGCUAACUCCGUGCCAGCAGCCGCGGUAAUACGGAGGGUGCUAGCGUUAAUCAGAAUUACUGGGCGUAAAGAGCACGUAGGUGGUUUUUUUAAGUCAGAUGUGAAAUCCCUGGGCUUAACCUAGGAACUGCAUUUUGAAACUGAAAUACUAGAGUAUCGUAGAGGGAGGUAGAAUUCUAGGUGUAGCGGUGAAAUGCGUAGAUAUCUGGAGGAAUACCUGUGGCGAAAGCGGCCUCCUAAACGAAUACUGACGCUGAGGUGCGAAAGCGUGGGGAGCAAACAGGGAUUAGAUACC
rnacentral:rRNA from 1 species